rnacentral:rRNA from 1 species
AUUGAACGCUGGCGGCAUGCCUUACACAUGCAAGUCGAACGGUAACGGGCCUUCGGGUGCCGACGAGUGGCGAACGGGUGAGUAAUACAUCGGAACGUGCCCGAUCGUGGGGGAUAACGAGGCGAAAGCUUUGCUAAUACCGCAUACGAUCUACGGAUGAAAGCAGGGGACCGCAAGGCCUUGCGCGGACGGAGCGGCCGAUGGCAGAUUAGGUAGUUGGUGGGAUAAAAGCUUACCAAGCCGACGAUCUGUAGCUGGUCUGAGAGGAUGAUCAGCCACACGGGGGCUGAGACACGGCCCAGACUCCUACGGGAGGCAGCAGUGGGGAAUUUUGGACAAUGGGCGCAAGCCUGAUCCAGCCAUGCCGCGUGCAGGAUGAAGGCCUUCGGGUUGUAAACUGCUUUUGUACGGAACGAAAAGCCUUCUUUUAAUACAGGAGGGUCAUGACGGUACCGUAAGAAUAAGCACCGGCUAACUACGU